rnacentral:rRNA from 1 species
UUGGGGUAUCGAAAACGAUUAGACACCGUUGUAGUCCCAACCACAAACUUUGCUGACUGGCUUUGUGUCACCCUGCGGUUCUGCUAGGGGGUGGUGCGGGGCCUAGGCGAAAGCAUAGUCUUCGAGUUACUUGGAGAGUAUGCCCGCAAGAGUGAAACUUAAAAGAGUUGGCGGAGUCCCAUACAUGAACUGGAGCGUGCGGUUUAAUUUGAUUCAACACGGGACAACUUACCAGGGCCUCGGCAAGUAUGAGUCGUUCUCAAAUGUUUAAUUCAUUUGGGUGUGGUUGAAAUCCAACGACGAUUUUGCCUGGGGUUGUGCAUGGCCACCCGAGGCCGAUGGAUUGAUCUUUUGGUUAAGUCCGGUAAUCGGCGAGACCCAGACUGUUAGUUCUGAACCAAUAGGUGAGGCUGGCAGAACUGUGCUCG